GACGCUUCAGAUCACACUAGGGCUUGCUGAAUUAACUUUGAUGUCUACCCUUCUCUAUACUCUCCUCCCUUCAUUUCUCGCUUUCUUCCUUCAAUCUGGUUCUCUUACCCUAUCAGUUUCCGCUUGGGUUUCUGCCGCUUCAGAGACUCGUCCGACCAGGUAGGCUCCUCUACUACUCUUCAGAGCUUCACUUGCUAAGAUAUGCGCAAGGUUGUUUACUAAUCUUGGGAUAUGCUCAAACCUACACUCCUUGAAUUUAAACAGAAGUUGAUGAAUAUCAUGUAAAUACGCACUAACCAAUGAUUUAUCAGGACUUUUUGUUUUACUUUUUCUUAUUAUUGAUAAAGAAUCCCCUUCAAUAAUAACUUUUUCCCACUGCAUGUUAACGCCGAUCUAGAGGGCUGUCCGGCACGCUAUUGCUUCCGCCCCAAAGGCUGAGGAAACUCUUUGAUAAACCUCCGUACAUGAUAGAAGAACUAAACUCUCCUUAUCACGGGCCACAACUCCAAUAGCCGCUUUACUUUGUCUACCGUCGUAUGCUGCAUCGAAAUUGAUUUUGACUACCCUGUCCACUGGCUUUAUCCAUAUUUUUACGGGUAUGAAAGAUUGCAACCUAUUUUUACCAACUGCAUCAAGAUCUGAAAUAUAGCUAUGAACAGAUCUCCCUACUUCUUUUCCAGAUUUACCAUCUUUUUUAUGCAAUCUAUUGUUCCUGUCUCCCCAUAUGGCCCAUACUGCUAUACAAAAAAUUCGAUGCUGAGGAGUCGAGCUUUGUGAGAAAACCCAGGUUAGCCACUGUAGAAACCCCAUUUGAUUGCCCUGCAAAUACCUAUGAAAAGAUAACUCUUUCCAUACUGCUAUUGUAGCAGGACAUUCCCGGAAGAGAUGGUGCAUAGUUUCAGUUCCUGAACUACAACGAGGACAUAUUGACGUAUUCGUCAGUCUUCUAAGUAGCAUAUUAGCACGCGUAGCUAGAAAAUUCCAAGAUAUCUUCCAAACUGUAAUUUUAAUUUUUGAAGGAAGAUCAAGUAACCAUAGUUUCCUGUAGAAAUCCUUGUAGUCGUUUUGUAAAGCAUAAGCUUCAUGUUAUUUUCAAUGCUUUGUAAUAGUUUAUAGGCGCUCGAUGUU
rnacentral:lncRNA from 1 species